rnacentral:tRNA from 1 species
GCCGGGAUAGCUCAAUUGGUAGAGCAGCGGGUUUAUAACCCGUAACGACAGAUAAUCGGCUGAUAAAGGUUCAAAUCCUUUUCCCGGUA